rnacentral:tRNA from 1 species
GCCUUUAUGAUCUAAUGGUAAGAUACCUGUUUCAUAAGCAGUAUACGAUGGUUCGAUUCCAUCUAAAGGCA